rnacentral:rRNA from 1 species
GAUGAACGCUAGCGACAGGCCUAACACAUGCAAGUCGAGGGGCAACGGGGCGUAGCAAUACGCUGCCGGCGACCGGCGGAUGGGUGAGUAACGCGUAUGCAACCUGCCUUCAGCAGGGGGAUAGCCCGUUGAAAGACGGAUUAAUACCCCAUAACACAGGGGCUCCGCAUGGAGAUUAUUGUUAAAGGGAUGCUUCCUUCGGGGGUAUUCCGGCUGAAGAUGGGCAUGCGUUCCAUUAGGUAGUUGGUUGAGGUAACGGCUCACCAAGCCUGCGAUGGAUAGGGGAACUGAGAGGUUGGUCCCCCAACUGGUACUGAGACACGGACCAGACUCCUACGGGAGCAGCAGUGAGGAAUCUUGGUCAAUGGACGGAAGUCUGAACCAGCCAUGUCGCGUGAAGGAGGACGGCCUAAGGGUUGUAACUUCUUUUGCAGCGGAAUAAAGUAUUCCACGUGAGUGGGAUAUUGCAAGUACGCUGCGAAUAAGGAUCGGCUAACUCCGU